GACGAACGCUGGCGGCAUGCCUAACACAUGCAAGUCGAACGAGACCUUCGGGCCUUGUUGCGCACGGGUGCGUAACGCGUGGGAACCUGCCCUUAGGUUCGGAAUAACUCCCCGUAAGGGGUCCUAAUACCGGUGAAUGUCUUCGGACCAAAGAUUUCUUGCCUUUGGAUGGGCCCGCGUUGGAUUGGCUGGUUGGUAGGGUAAAAGCAUAGCAAGGCGACGAUGCAUAGCUGGUCUGAGAAGAUGAUCAGCCACACUGGGACUGCGGCACGGCCCAGAACGGGAGGGGACGGAGGAGUAGGGAACAUUAGGGACGGGACGAUAGCGCAGUCCAGCAGCGCGGGGGAAGAGAUGAAGGGCGUAGGGAUGUAAAGUUGUUUGACACGGGAUGAUAAUGACAGUACCGGGUAAAUAAGCACCGGCUAACUCCGUG
rnacentral:rRNA from 1 species